CUUUAGCAAUGACAGCUUCUCCGUACACUUUAGGACCAUGGCUUUCCACCUACAAGUCCCCACAAGCACUUUUUAAAAAAUGAAAUUAAAGAAAAUAUCAGAGUGCAUCCAACAGAGUAAGGACAACUGAAUACAUCAUCACAGAGGCCACGACAUUCUGUCUACAGUGCAGGACUGGGACCCAAAGCAAAGAUGAAUGACUCCAGCACAGGAAGCCACCGAAGUCUGGCCUAAUUGUCCUCCUGGGAGUCAUCAUCAUGGUUACUCUCAUUUAAUGUUGCCUAAGGAAAAGGAUUUGGUCCAACCUUCUACCAGUACAUCUAAGGACCAGUCCCUACUGGGGAGCCUGUAUCAAACAGCAGGAGCCUGUAUUCCUGAGAAGCAUGAAGAAGCCACAGCAGCCACUGUUGGUACCUGCCCAGAUCCACUCAGCAUCUCUUCCGCAGGUUUAAGGCUGCUCACUUGAUCCCAUUAUACUCUGCUUACGGCCCUCUUCUGAUGGCAGAAGUGAACUUGGCCUAUAAAGGGCAGGCCAGAAGUACCAGUCAAUGCCCAUGAAAAUACCCCUUAAUGACAGAUGGGAAGUUGGUAGAUAACACAAUUCCCUUGCUCCUUGAUAGGGUAACUGGGUUAUGUUCUAUAAAGUCCCCCACAGGUCCCCAGUGGGACUGAGUCCCAGUUGCCCAGAGUGGUAACUCGCUUGAUAAUGCACCUUUUAUUGGCUGCCUUCCUCUCUAUUGUCUCCCUUCUCCAUUCCUCUAUCAGUGUUUCUGGAAUCAAAUUCAAAUUACCAUCUGCACUCAAAUUCUGAGUUGGCUUCUGGAAAACUGGAAACUAAGAACAGAAAUCCAGUGCAUAGACCAGAAGCGGUGGCUCACACCUAUAAUCCCAGCACUUUGGGAGGCUGAGGUGGGCAGAUCACCUGAGGUCAGGAGUUACAGACCAGCCUGACCAACAUGGUGAAACCCCGUCUCUACUAGAAAUACAAAAAUUAGCCGGGCAUGGCGGCCGGUGCCUGUAAUCCCAGCACUUCGGGAGGCUGAGGCGGGCAGAUCACCUGAGGUCAGGAGUUUGAGACCAGCCUGACCAACAUGGUGAAACCCCAUCUCUACUAGAAAUACAAAAAUUAGCCAGGCAUGGUGGCGGAUAUCUGUAAUCCCAGCUACUCAGGAGGCUGAGGCAGGAGAAUUGCUUGAACUCAGGAGGCAGAGGUUGCAGUGAGCCGAGAUCACGCCAUUGCACUCCAGCCUGGGCAACAAGAGUGAAACUCCGUCUUG
rnacentral:lncRNA from 1 species